UUAGGGUCGGUACCCUGAUGAGGCAACUGCUCGCACCCCGUCUUUCUGUUCUCACCAACGGGUAGGGGUCGGGCAUACCCAAUAACCCAAUUUGAAUUAUAAGGUUUUCUUCGUCACUUGGGUUGACCUUCGCUAUAAACGCGUAAAUAACUUGAAAGUGGCGGAAAAGUUGCCUCGGUCCGGCUUUCUUUU
rnacentral:telomerase_RNA from 1 species